GUUUGUUUGAGCUUUUCGCAUACGCAAUCCGGCGAACAAUACUCUCAAAGUUUGACCUCAAAUCAGGUAGGAAUACCCGCUGAACUUAAGCAUAUCAAUAAGCGGAGGAAAAGAAACCAACCGGGAUUGCCUUAGUAACGGCGAGUGAAGCGGCAAAAGCUCAAAUUUGAAAUCUGGUACCUUCGGUGCCCGAGUUGUAAUUUGUAGAAGGUAACUUUGGGGCUGGUCCUUGUCUAUGUUCCUUGGAACAGGACGUCAUAGAGGGUGAGAAUCCCGUGUGGCGAGGAUCCCAGUUCUUUGUAAAGUGCUUUCGAAGAGUCGAGUUGUUUGGGAAUGCAGCUCUAAGUGGGUGGUAAAUUCCAUCUAAAGCUAAAUAUUGGCGAGAGACCGAUAGCGAACAAGUACAGUGAUGGAAAGAUGAAAAGAACUUUGAAAAGAGAGUGAAAAAGUACGUGAAAUUGUUGAAAGGGAAGGGCAUUUGAUCAGACAUGGUGUUUUGCGCCCUCUGCUCCUUGUGGGUGGGGGAAUCUCGCAGCUCACUGGGCCAGCAUCAGUUUUGGCGGCAGGAUAAAUCUGCAGGAAUGUAGCUUGCCUCGGUAAGUGUUAUAUCCUGUAGAAAUACUGCCAGCUGGGACUGAGGACUGCGAC
rnacentral:rRNA from 1 species